rnacentral:rRNA from 1 species
UACAGAGGUCCCAAGCGUUGUUCGGAUUCAUUGGGCGUAAAGGGCGCGUAGGCGGUGCGGUAAGUCACCUGUGAAACCUCUGGGCUUAACUCAGAGCCUGCAGGCGAAACUGCCGUGCUGGAGUGUGGGAGAGGUGCGUGGAAUUCCCGGUGUAGCGGUGAAAUGCGUAGAUAUCAGGAGGAACACCAAUGGCGAAGGCAGCUCGCUGGGACGUGACUGACGCUGAGACGCGAAAGCGUGGGGAGCAAACAGG